rnacentral:rRNA from 1 species
CCUACGGGAGGCUGCAGUGGGGAAUUUUGGACAAUGGGCGCAAGCCUGAUCCAGCUAUUCCGCGUGUGGGAAGACGGCCUUCGGGUUGUAAACCACUUUUGUAGAGAACGAAAAGUCUGUUGAUAAUACCGAUAGAUGAUGACGGUACUCUAAGAAUAAGCACCGGCUAACUACGUGCCAGCAGCCGCGGUAAUACGUAGGGUGCGAGCGUUAAUCGGAAUUACUGGGCGUAAGGGGUGUGCAGGCGGUUUUGCAAGAUGGAUGUGAAAGCCCCGGGCUUAACCUGGGAAAGCCAUACAUGACUGCAAGACUAGAGUGCGUCAGAGGGGGAUGGAAUUCCAAGUGUAGCAGUGAAAUGCGUAGAUAUUUGGAAGAACACCGAUGGCGAAGGCAGCCCCCUGGGACGCAACUGACGGUCAUACACGAAAGCGUGGGGAGCAAACAGGAUUAGAUACCCGUGUAGUC